GAUGAACGCUGGCGGCGUGCCUAAUGCAUGCAAGUCGAGCGAACGGACGAGAAGCUUGCUUCUCUGAUGUUAGCGGCGGACGGGUGAGUAACACGUGGAUAACCUACCUAUAAGACUGGGAUAACUUCGGGAAACCGGAGCUAAUACCGGAUAAUAUUUUGAACCGCAUGGUUCAAAAGUGAAAGACGGUCUUGCUGUCACUUAUAGAUGGAUCCGCGCUGCAUUAGCUAGUUGGUAAGGUAACGGCUUACCAAGGCAACGAUGCAUAGCCGACCUGAGAGGGUGAUCGGCCACACUGGAACUGAGACACGGUCCAGACUCCUACGGGAGGCAGCAGUAGGGAAUCUUCCGCAAUGGGCGAAAGCCUGACGGAGCAACGCCGCGUGAGUGAUGAAGGCCUUCGGAUCGUAAAACUCUGUUAUUAGGGAAGAACAUAUGUGUAAGUAACUGUGCACAUCUUGACGGUACCUAAUCAGAAAGCCACGGCUAACUACGUG
rnacentral:rRNA from 1 species